CAGUCGAACUCGUCUUGGUUAUUGAUGUUAGAUGCUUGCAUUUAACUGAUUUAACAUUGAGACGAGUGGCGAACUGGUAAGUAACACGUGGGUAACCUGCCCUUGAAGUAGGGGAUAACACUUGGAAACAGGUGCUAAUACCGUAUAACAACCAAAACCACCUGGUUUUGGUUUAAAAGAUGGCUUCGGCUAUCACUUUAGGAUGGACCCGCGGCGUAUUAGCUUGUUGGUAAGGUAACGGCCUACCAAGGCAAUGAUACGUAGCCGACCUGAGAGGGUAAUCGGCCACAUUGGGACUGAGACACGGCCCAAACUCCUACGGGAGGCAGCAGUAGGGAAUCUUCCACAAUGGACGAAAGUCUGAUGGAGCAACGCCGCGUGAGUGAUGAAGGGUUUCGGCUCGUAAAACUCUGUUGUUGGAGAAGAACAGGUGUGAGAGUAACUGUUCACAUCUUGACGGUAUCCAACCAGAAAGCCACGGCUAACUACGUGCCAGCAGCCGCGGUAAUACGUAGGUGGCAAGCGUUGUCCGGAUUUAUUGGGCGUAAAGCGAGCGCAGGCGGUUUCUUAGGUCUGAUGUGAGAGCCUUCGGCUUAACCGGAGAAGUGCAUCGGAAACCAGGAGACUUGAGUGCAGAAGAGGACAGUGGAACUCCAUGUGUAGCGGUGAAAUGCGUAGAUAUAUGGAAGAACACCAGUGGCGAAGGCGGCUGUCUGGUCUGUAACUGACGCUGAGGCUCGAAAGCAUGGGUAGCGAACAGGAUUAGAUACCCUGGUAGUCCAUGCCGUAAACGAUGAGUGCUAAGUGUUGGAGGGUUUCCGCCCUUCAGUGCUGCAGCUAACGCAUUAAGCACUCCGCCUGGGGAGUACGACCGCAAGGUUGAAACUCAAAGGAAUUGACGGGGGCCCGCACAAGCGGUGGAGCAUGUGGU
rnacentral:rRNA from 1 species